rnacentral:rRNA from 1 species
UACGUAGGGGGCUAGCGUUGUCCGGAAUCAUUGGGCGUAAAGCGCGUGUAGGCGGUCCGGUAAGUCCGUUGUGAAAGUCAAAGGCUCAACCUUUGAAAGCCGAUGGAUACUGCAGAGCUAGAGUCCGGAAGAGGCGAGUGGAAUUCCUGGUGUAGCGGUGGAAUGCGCAGAUAUCAGGAGGAACACCAAUAGCGAAGGCAGCUCGCUGGGACGGUACUGACACUAAGGCGCGAAAGCGUGGGGAGCGAACGAGG